ensembl:lncRNA
CACGACUACCCAGCGUGCAUCGUAAACAGUAAACACGGCCGCGUGUGAUAGCGAUAUUGAAUAUUUUGAGCGUCCUAAAGUCAAUGUUUUAAAAGAAUUUGGUACGAAACGGGGAUACAGUGCUGCUGGGAAGAGAAAGAAAGAACUCGUGGCCCUCGCUUGGGCGUUUUCACUACAAAAAGCCCCUAUAGUUUUAACAAAACAGCAGGAGCGGGAGGCUAUGCUACCUUGGAUAUAAGUCUCUGCUCGAGAUCGAGACUGACAGUUGUCAGAUGACAAUUCCAGAUCCCUUAGAGCUGAGAGAAGAAUGCCGUUGUGUGUGGCAUAAGAUCUGCCUCCAGACAUCUUCAGAAGACUGGGAUAUGUCCGACGGUGAUGUCUCAUCUGAUGAAGAAUACAUCCCAAAUUCUGCAUCAGAUUCAGAAAGCUCAGGAACAGAGUUGUCUAUUGAGUUACCUGGACCAUCA